CUUCCAACCUAGAAAAUUCUGUGAUUCUGUGAUUCUAAAACUUGCAACGCUGAAUGGAGGUAUUCUGGAGAGAGCACCGCUGUCUUCUCUGAAUACCAUAAGGGAGAAGUAGGCAGAGAAUUUGUUAAAAUGUAUUUGGAAGUUUUCUGAUAGAAUCUGGUCAAAUGUAAAUGGUUAAGGCAUCCUGGGAAGACAAACAAUCCUCCUUCAUUCAGCCGAGGUGCCUAUUACAUUUUGUUACAGCAUGGAGCCUUUCCAACCAGAGUUAAAUCUGACCUUUUCAGUGUUCUCCACAGGAGAAAAUGUCAAUGCUUUAAAAAUUGCUGUAGUGCUGAAAGCAUUGCAAAAUGCAAAAUGAUAGCAAGUGAGUCCUGAAACAUGAAAAGCAGGAAGUACCAGCGAUAUCAAACCCCGUCUCUCAGCCUGUUGUCAAGAAGACAACAUUUUGAAAAAAAUGAAAUGGAAGAAAUUUGUUUUAUGCUGGAAAUCAUCAUUGCUCUGAAAAGAGCCUUUUCUUGGUGGUAGGCAGUAGAUGGCUGCUGCUGGCCUGGCUAGGAACCUCCACCUCUCCCCGGCAGGUCCCGCUGCGAUUCCUGCUGUAGCCAUACCUGCUGGUAGCAGCUGAGUUACAGCUGCUUAAUGAACAGGGAAGCUUCGAGUGCUACAUGUAUAUAGCUAGUAAAACUCUCUCUAUAAAACUAAUAAGCUGCCUCUGACCAGGCUUGUUACGAGUUUACAGAAUGCAGAAAGGAGGCUAGUCUUUUAUUUCAGCUUUCUGUGGUCCUUUUUACCACAUGCUUGGCCAAGUCGGCAUGCCAAGGUUUUAAAGCUAAUUGGAUUUCUCAAGCUCCUGGUUUCUUUCCUUCCAGCACUCAGUGUUUGUUUACAUUCCACUGGAUGUAGGAAAGAAACCCCACAGUUUACAAACAUCAGAGGAUGAAGUAGAGAGAAUGGUUAUAAAAUUAAUAGCCAAUGGGACUGCAGGCCUUCUGGAGGAGAGGGUCAGGAUAACAGUGAAAAAAAGAUCUUGAGAACUAGGAAGAGCAUCCAAAAUCAAUAGAAUAAAAUUCAAUAAAGAAAAUGAAAGGGAAGAUAGUUAAAUUAUAGCUACUGCAAACCAGUAAUGAUGGUGAGCAAUUUGUAUGUGGCUUUGGAGUACAUCAGUGUGUCUGUGAAUUGCCUUGGGAUAAAAAAUCAAAUAAAAAAGCAACAGAGCUGAGGUUUUUCAUGCCCUAUCUGUAGCUGUUAUGUUAACAAAAAUUUUGAGUAUGUCUUCAAUAACAAAAUACAGAGAUAUGAGUGAGAUAUGGAAAAUAAAUGAAAUAU